UACGUAGGGUGCAGGCGUUAAUCGGAAUUACUGGGCGUAAAGCGUGCGCAGGCGGUCUUUUAAGUCAGAUGUGAAAUCCCCGGGCUUAACCUGGGAACUGCGUUUGAAACUGGAAGGCUAGAGUGUGGCAGAGGGGGGUGGAAUUCCACGUGUAGCGGUGAAACGCGUAGAUAUGUGGAGGAACACCGAUGGCGAAGGCAGCCCCCUGGGCUAACACUGACGCUCAUGCACGAAAGCGUGGGGAGCAAACAGG
rnacentral:rRNA from 1 species